rnacentral:lncRNA from 1 species
AGUGUACACAGAAGCACCAGAGACGUUUGAUCAAUCUCACUAAAUCACAUCCAACGUUCUAUAUUACAUCAAAGGUCUGCCACACCAAUCAACACUCAGGAUUAAAUGUUCUGCCAGGGCAGACGCCCACGUCCUACUUCUCCCACGAUCUACCUCACGCAAAGAAGCCGUCGCACAACACACCACUUUAGUACGGAUCCCACGCCCGCACAAGGAAACAGCACGUCCAAUUCGCAUGGACUUGCUCGACUAUACGGAAAGAAAUCUGCUAAAUUAGGGGGGAAUCAAUCCAGGCGUCCGGCUUGACAUGCGCCAUCGCUGCUCGCUGCCCUGCGCAGACGUCGAGGCACCGGACAACGACCGCGACGACGAGCUCUUCGCCAGCACAAGUGCAACCGCCGAGUCACCUGACGAUGGCCACAACGACGAGCUCUUCUCCAUCACAGAUGCAGCCGCCGAGGCGCUCGUCCACGGCCGCGCUGACGAGCUCGUCACCAACACAGGUGCAUGCUCUUCAGUAUGUAACUGACCUCACCUAAAAGCCUUGCCAAUCUGCAUAUGGAUCGUCCAAUGCUUUAGUUACAAGUAAUAUGAACACAAAUAAAGACACACCCAGAAAGAGACCUAGAUGAAUGGUAUUACCAACUACUACAUCAUGUUGCAUUAUUCCUUCUGACAGUUGUAUUAUAACAUUCUUGACAUUCACAGGGUUAAAGGACAAUGUAUGGUCCCGACCACUCCCGACGGGACGCUCACCCCGUGCCAGCAUAUAAGCAACACCCAAUACUUGGGUCAUGAUCAGUACCCAAGCACCCGAUUCAGUUUUGUUGCUCAAAUAUGGAAUUGUGUCAUUGAUUGCAGACCCUAAAGAAGUAAAAAUGGUAGAGGGAUAGAGAGCAGUAUGCACAAAAUAGGGAUGAGAUUAAUAAGAGACGGUGUGAGGUCUAUAAACAGAAGAAAAUUGCCGCAGCCGAGAUCAAUGGGGCACAGACCCAGCUGGCUGUAUCACAAGGUAAUGAUGAUCAACUUCAUGAUAUAUGGCCCAGUUUUAUUGCUAUAUAAUGAUCUAUGAUCUGUUCUUCAAACGUGCAGACCGUAAUGAGAUAAAGAAUUAGAUGGAAAGGGAGUGGUACGCACAAAAUAGAGAGGACAUUCUAAACCGACAACGUCCAACCCGCGAGCAAAAUAAGCAUAUUGCUGCUGUCCUUGAUGGCAGUAACAUUGUAACACAGGUGCCGGCUACCGGACAAUCGGCAGUCACACAACUGCAGAACAUAACAUGUGCAGGUGGUGCAGUCACUGGAUUGUUGCUCAACUGCUAAACUGUGUCAUGAAUUGCAGAGCCUAAAUAAAUAAAAAGGCAAAGGGAUAGAGAGCGGUAUUGUAGUUGGUCCUAUCCUGAAUCUCUCAUCAAGGCAGAUAUGAGUGGACGUUCCAAAAGCACUUCUACGGUUUGUAGUUAGUCCUACCACCCCAUCUUCUCAAAUAAGAUUGUUUUUCUUUUUAUUUGUGGCUUGUGAUGCUAAUACUUUUUCAUUUGUUGGUGCCACAGCUAAAAGACUGGAUGAUUUAUCAACUAUGCAUCCAAGCACAUGGAACUAAAAUCCGGUAAGUGGAAUGCUCUAAAUGUUACAACAAUUUUCAUUUUUCUGUAUAUAAAUGAGGUCAUCUUCUAUUAUAAAAUUUUCAUAUUAGAUGGCUGCAGGAUAAGUAUUGCAUGAUAAACAAAAAUAGGAAAGUAAACGUAUAGGCUCGGAAACAGUUUGGAUUUUACAAGAGAAGAUCUACUAAAGUACAUUCAGGUAGAAUCAAUGGCAGAGCUAGGAUUUGCAAGCAGGUUUGUCCUCAUCUAAAAAAAAAUCCCCGUAUCCCUCCCGGUUUGAACAGAUUAUGUGCAAACUUUAUAUAUAUGUAUGUGCUCAUCAGUGAAAUGUCUCAAACUAUGCUUUGAUGUGAGACCAGUCAAACACUUACACAGUGUAAUUACAUAAACAUGUUAUGCAGAGUGUAAAUGUAGGUUUACUGGUAAACGCCAAACUAAGACCUAAAAAGUACUAUGUCAGGACCAGAUUAAAACAGGUUUUAAGAUAGCCAAAGUGUACCGUACAGUCACACAUACUUUGUCGUACACAUUUUUUUGGACAGUACAGUCAUACAUUCUUGUCCGUACAUGCAAUUCCAAAAACUCUCCUGUACGGAGAAGAGCAAGUAUAGGCAACGAAAGUUGAGUAAUUUUAGUCAAAGUCCGAAGUCACGCAAUCAUGCUUAAGGCACGAGAAUAUGUGCAGAGUCUUAGCAGAGUACAUUUGGUAUGCUAUUGUGCUUUUUUUCCCUGCAUAGCAUUCCCGAAGCACAUUUGAUCAUUUUUUGGUGUUGCAAUCAUAAAUGCUGGUCUUCUGAGCCAAAUGUGAUUUUGAGCUCUUAACAAGGUGCAUUUUGUAAGCUAUUUAUUCUUAUUUUUAACUGCAUAGCAUUAUGAAAACAGGAUGACAUAUAAGAACUGAAAUAUGAAACCCAUGCAUUGGACUACCUUAAUACACCCUUAAGUCAUUUCAGGUAAAGAGAAGCUUCGAUGUAUCACCGAGUCGAACCAAUACAUUCAACAAAUAACUGGUAUAUUCGGAAAUUAAGUGAGUAAGUACCUGAUCAUUCUGACCGAACAAAAUCCAAGA